GACGAACGCUGGCGGCGUGCUUAACACAUGCAAGUCGAACGGUGAAGCGCCUUCCUUUUUGGUGGGUGUGGAUGAGUGGCGAACUGGUGAGUAACACGUGAGUAACCUGCCCCCUUCUUCUGGAUAACCGCAUGAAAGUGUGGCUAAUACGGGAUAUUCUGGUUCUGUCGCAUGAUGGGUCUGGGAAAGAUAUUGUUUCGGUGGGGGAUGGGCUCGCGGCCUAUCAGCUUGUUGGUGGGGUGAUGGCCUACCAAGGCGGUGACGGGUAGCCGGCCUGAGAGGGUGGACGGUCACACUGGGACUGAGACACGGCCCAGACUCGUACGGGAGGCAGCAGUGGGGAAUAUUGCACAAUGGGCGCAAGCCUGAUGCAGCGACGCCGCGAGAGGGAUGGAGGCCUUCGGGUUGUGAACCUCUUUCGCCAGUGAAGCAGGCCUGCCUCGUUUGUGGGUGGGUUGACGGUAGCUGGAUAAGAAGCGCCGGCUAACUACGUG
rnacentral:rRNA from 1 species